ensembl:lncRNA novel transcript, antisense to SH3PXD2A
AAAUUAUUCUAUUCUUUAAAAAAAAAAAAAAAAGAGAAAAAAACUAGAGACAGGGUUUUGCCUGGUCUCAAACUCCUGGGCUCAAGCAAUCCUCCUGCCUCAGCCUCCCAAAGUGCUGGAAUUACAGGCAUAAGCCACUGUGCCCAGCACAAAAUGCUCAUUAUUAAUGCAGUAAUUUCUAAUCUUACAUCUCUGGAGGUCUAGUUUUCAGAUGCCUCAAUAGCUGAAUCUCAAAAUGAAAAUUAAAAAGCAGAGAAAUCUCCUGUAAUCGUAGUGCUUUGGGAAGCCCAGGUGGGAGGACUGCUUGAGGCCAGGAGUUUGAGAUCAGCCUGGGCAAAUAGUGAGACCCCAUUUCUACCACACACACAUACACACACACACACAAAAAUUAGGUGGACAUGGUGUUAUGCACCUGUGGUCCCAGCUACUUGGGAGUCUGAGGCAGGAAAAUAGCGUGAGCCCAGGAGUUCGAGGCUGCAGUGAGCUAUGAACAGACCACUGCACUCCAGCCCAACUGACAGAGUGAGACUCUGUCUCUGAAAAAAAAAAAAAAAAAGAAAGAAAGAAAAAGCAGAGAAAUCAUUCUAACAAAGCACUUGCACACUGCCCUGUGGGAGAGGAAGGAAAGCCACUGUCCUGGAGUCUAGGGGUGAGGGCUGCAGGUGGGACUUCUGACAGCACAGGCAAGGCAAUGGAGCACAGUGGUCUCUAGUCUGGGGUGUGUGUGUAAGAAGGCAGUGCGGUUGAGUGAGCAAAGUCUUUGGCUGGUCAUCAUGACAAGGCCAGAUAGGCAGGCAAGCACUAAAUAAACUCGCAAUAUUCUGUGGGCAGGGUAGAACUCAUUGGAGAUCCUCAAUGCUUUUCAGAAACUGGCACAGCAGCAUCUAAGCAUGACAUUCAAGGACAUUUAGAAGCUGGCUUUGGCCCAUGGUUUGUGAGCCUCACCCAUUCAUUUAACAACUGUUUGUUGUGUGUCUACUGGGUGCCAGACACUGGUCUAAGGCACCGAGCGCCCAGUAGGAAACCAAAUGGACAACCCCCUGCCCUUGUGGAUUGUAUAUUUUUGCUUCAAUGGUCUUGUCUCUACUCAGCUAAAAUGGACUUUGUACCCCGCUAUUUAUGUCCUCCCUCAUGCAAAGGGGUUCAAAUAAAGCAAUUGGGAAAAAAAGGUGGGAGGGAUGAGGGGACGGGAAGAAGCUUGGUGUAGCAGGAAGACCUGGAAAGACCUCAACCUUGGGGCUGGACUCCAAUCAUAGCAAUUUACCAGCUGUGUGGCCCUGGGCAAAGCCCUUGACGUCUCUGAACUUCAGUUCUCUCAUCUGUAAAAUGGAACUAAUACCAGCAUCCUGAAGAGGAUCCCUGAGAUAACAUACAUCACUUUGGGCCCAGCGAGGGGCAUAGGGAGAGCUCAAUAAAUAGAAGCUGGAACUCA